rnacentral:ncRNA from 1 species
GUUUUUUGGAACAGGCUUUCCCGCGGUAUAAGGGAGGGAAACCCCCAGGUAGGGACCAAAGGGCCCCAAUAUUUGUUUAGGGAACCGUGGUAGGCCGCUACUCCCGUUGGAUUAUCCCUGAAGCCUUUAAGGUUGUUUCCGUGCUGGACUGCAAAGAUAAAUAGGGGCAAUUUGCAUUGUAUGGCUUCUAAACCAUUUAAAGUUUAUUAUUUAUAUUUUAAACGACAAUGGAUGUGAUGCCAAUGUAAUUUGUAACAUAGUAAAUUGGGAGGAUCUUUGAUCACCUGGUGCCAUGCUAGUUACAUAUGAAAACAUUAUUUAAUACAAUGACAAAGCCUAGAAUCAAUUGUAAACGACUUUUGUAACGGGCAAGGUGUUGUAAGUGGUUGAGCAGCUGCCAUACUGCGAUCCACUGAAGCUUAUCCUUUGCUUGAUGAUUCGA